rnacentral:rRNA from 1 species
GACGAACGCUGGCGGCGUGCCUAAUACAUGCAAGUAGAACGCUGAAGAGAGGAGCUUGCUCUUCUUGGAUGAGUUGCGAACGGGUGAGUAACGCGUAGGUAACCUGCCUUGUAGCGGGGGAUAACUAUUGGAAACGAUAGCUAAUACCGCAUAACAAUGGAUUACCCAUGUCAUUUAUUUGAAAGGGGCAAAUGCUCCACUACAAGAUUGAACUGCGUUGUAUUAGCUAGUAGGUGAGGUAACGGCUCACCUAGGCGACGAUACAUAGCCGACCCGAGAGGGUGAUCAGACACACUGGGACUGAGACACGGCCCAGACUCCUACGGGAGGCAGCAGUAGGGAAUCUUCGGCGAUGGGGGCAACCCUGACCGAGCAACGCCGCGUGAGUGAAGAAGGUUUUCGGAUCGUAAAGCUCUGUUGUAAGUCAAGAACGAGUGUGAGAGUGGAAAGUUCACACUGUGACGGUAGCUUACCAGAAAGGGACGGCUAACUACGUG